ACUCUGCAGCAGACGGGGAAGAAAACUCUGGGGCUCCUUCCCUUCGGAUGGAUAGAGAGGGCGGCCGGGCGGCGAGCUGCAAGAAGGAGGUCAGGGUGGGCUUGCGGGAGCUCGGGGGCGACCUGGAGGGAGCGGGAGCCCCCGGCACCGCCCCCGCGCCCCCCCCCCGCCCCCGCCGCACCCCCCGGGGCGGGCGCCGGGCCGCGGUGACCGCCGGCUGGUGCGCUGCCCUCGCCUCCCCCAUUGUUCCUACUGUCUUUUUGCCUUUUGUUAUUUGCACUCGCAUUGUGUUGUUUGUCUCUGAAGCCGCCUCAUGACCAGCAAAGGGAUUUCACCUCGUCCUUGAGAGCAACACGGGGAGCGCGAGCGAGCGGGCGAGCGAGAGACGGGGGGAGAGAGAGGGACACGCGCGCGCACACACACACACACCGGCACACACGCACACACACAGACACACACACACAGAGUGAAAAAGGCGAGCCACCAAAACCCAUCUCCAGUCUCCUCCCGGGGGCCCCCAGCCCGCCUCUGUGCCACUUUGCAUCCCACGCCGGAGGAGGCAUUAACGAGACCGGGCUUUUUAAACGGUCCAAGGUGUAGAGCCAUACUUCAGGAGGAUCCUCAGAAGUUUUGGACAAGCCUCCCCAAAUGUGGCAGGUGCUGUGCUGGCCAUUGGUGACCCAAAGAUGAUGAAAAAUAUGUUCCUGCCCACAAGGAGUUAGCGACCUACUGGGCUUUCCUCUUGCUGAUGACAUGAUUCCUGUUUGAAUCUGUUGACAAGAUUCUGAAAGCUGAACAGAGAAUUCUGGCACUGCACUGGGUAGGAAAAAGCAUUUCAAGAAAUAGAUAAUAUCAAGGACAUCAGGACACCGGGAGUGGGAGAGAUUGGACUGGGAGACUCAGCAGCUCUUCAUGAGAAGAUUCAUGGAAACAAUGUCAAGAAGCUUCUACUUCCAAUUCAUAUGUCAUCUGCCCAAAAGUUGUGAUUCCUAUACUCAACUUGGACCUAAAUCAAAAUGGGAAAUAAGAUAAAAGAAGCAGAAGUGCCAGUAGUCCAUGCUGGGAAUUUUGUCUUAGAGCUAGUCUAUUACUAAUCUAGAGAGUCAUCUAUCUAGGCUACCACAUUUUCAUAAAGAUUGUAAUAGGCAGUCUUAAAGUUUGUCUCUUACUUGAAAUACACCAAGGGCCA
rnacentral:lncRNA from 1 species